GCCCGGGUGGUGAAAUCGGUAGACACAAGGGAUUUAAAAUCCCUCGGGGGAAACCCCGUGCCGGUUCAAGUCCGGCCCCGGGCA
rfam:Rheinheimera nanhaiensis E407-8 DNA, contig: CTG017.